GGGGAGGAAACGACAGACCGCGAAGAAGCGCGGGCGCGAAAUACUAUUGCGCACAGAAAAUCGAUACAAGAAAAUGUAUUUUAAUUCCAACGAAAAGGCCAAGCAACCGACCAACCGGGCGGCGAGAGCGAGUUUUGGUUGCGAUUUUCAGGGGGAAAAAAGAAUUGCCAAACAAACGACAGAAAGACGAAGAAUGAACGCUUUCCCAGGAAGCGUCCUUGUUGUUCCACCGUAGCAGGCGUUCUCCUUUCGAGAUAAAGUGCAUUUCCUUCUCCAACUGCACGGUUCACGUCUCCUUGGUGAAGGCAUUUUCCAAGUGGCCUUCAACCUCCACACUAAGCCUUUCGGUUUCAAUUUUUCACCUCGAGGUGGAGAUUUAAAAAUUUUAUCGCAAAAAAUCGCUUUAAAAGUCGCUUUCGGGAGGAUUUGCUCCUUCGAACAGCGCAAAAACGUACACAUCCACGUGGCACUGGGUAAGCGACACGGCAAGGAAAAGCACACCCAUACAUACGAGAGAAUGAUGACGACGACCGUUGGGCCACACACUGUCAAUCUCGACAGCAGCAUCCUUCGCCCGCUGCCUUUGAUCGUUUCUACGUGGUCGCCGUCGCCGCCGUCUCCACGCCAAGGCGGAGGUCUUUCCCUCUGAAAUAGUGUUUUUCACCCUUCUCCUCCUCCCCAGCACACUUCUUUCUUCUUGCUGCCUGCUAAAGGCAAUCAAUAUUUUGCGCCACCAGCGACACCACCACCACCACCACAAAACGGUGGAAAGAAGAAAAAUGCUGCCAGCUUCGCGUAUUCGCGUUAGUGUUUUCCACACGUCCACACAGCUUCGCAUGGUGUGUGUGUCCCUGUUUAUCCCUCUCUCUUUCUCUUUCUUGGGCUAUUAAGGAGGGCGAAAUAUGCAAGGUCCUUCGAGGCCCAGCCUCACCUGGGAGAGAUUUAGCUUCGCCUUGGAGGUCAUUUUCCUUUCCAGAUUGGACGACUGUAAUACAUUUUCCCGCACGGUGUUGUUUUGCUGUAACGGAAGUCUGUAACAAUAUUUCCUUCUUACCGUGUUUUUCGCACCACCCUUCCUUAUUUAUUUGCCCUUCAAACUCAUCCUUAAUAGCAGCAGAAGCACGCCAGCCCAGCCCGGCAGCAGCCAGCAUGUGCCACUAAUAGAAAGUCAUCGAACCACAACAAACCAAAUACGACUAAAACCAUUAUAUCCCUGUAUACCCUGCCCAUGUCUUCUGUCUCCUUGCAACAUCACUCCCCAUUCAUUAAAACCGUUUUAUGUGUUUUAAGUAGCAACCAUACCCAUACCCCACGGGACUGACUUCUUGCCAUCUCCAGGCUAUACAGUCACCAGCAGCGCAAGAUGAAACGCUGACCCCCCGGCGGGAGGGUCCUCCGAGUCUGGCAGCACGAAGCCACGCAGCAGCAAGAGCGAACGCCUUUCUCCACCAAACAAAAGGGACCUGGGCGAAAAAGGGAUACGGGAUCCCUUCACGUAGCAGUGUACUACCGGAGCAACGUGCGGGGAAUUGUUGUGUCUGGCAAAAACAGCGCAGCAAAAGUAUUCCACAAUCCGGAAUCGUUCGCAAAGAAUGCCAUAAAAGUAAGCGCUCUAAGGACGACGACGACGACGACAGCGAUGAUGAUGAUGCCGUCUACCAUUUCCCGGUGCGCCGCCGGUACUCUGUGUGUGUGUGUGUGUACGAAAGUUAGAAAUCCGACAAACGGCGGUACGAUAUUGGAAGCUGAUGCUUUAGGGACAGCGCCGUGAAAGGCUACGACGAUUACGUUUACGACUUCUGCCGCUGUUACUACUACUACUACUGCUGCUGCUGCUAUGCCGUUGGCAAGGCCGCUGCUACUUGAGGUUGACGGUUGCCGUACCGUCGUCAACGGGAUCUCGCCGGUCGGUUGGUAUGCUCUUGAGGUUUUUUGGCAAACGACAUCGUCGCCGUACACCGCGUCGUUUUGACUUUGCCGGAUGGGUAUGGGUGAGGUGAGGGAAAACUGAUUGUCUCGUCUGGUUGCCGCGUGCUUUCGCUUUCGUGCUCGCACAACUGGGCAGAGCGAGGGGGGGGGGGGGGGUACAAAACAUCGUUCGCCGGAUGUCCCAAUGGCAAUCAUAUGAUCCUGGGCGUAGAGUAAGCUCGUUGAUUUCCGGCGCCAUUCAUGGUCGCUCUUCAAAACGAGACCCCGAACAUGAUUACCAAAAUCGUUGUUGAGGCAGAUCGGGCGCGCUCAUUCAAGGCCAAGGAGAUAUCCCUUUUCAGCCGAGUUUACGGAUUCGAAGGACGCACCACAAACUCGGGUUGACAUUAUCCUUUUUUUUUUGCUUUAAUUUAACUCCUCCUUUACUACCAUCACUGCUACUCCUGCUACUACUACGGGGGAAGUUUCUACUUUGGGUGAAAGUAUUUGUAAGUAAGAUUUCGUGUAUUCUUACCCCGCCACCACGUCCUCGUCCGCGACCACGCUUUCCAUCAGCACGGACGGCCUGUCCGUUAGCGUCGUACGACACGAUCUAAAGCGGGUGAUGAUGAUGAUGGUUAACCGGAAAGAAGGCCGCAAUUCGCGAAUGUGCAAUAGAAAAGGGUUUGCAGGAGACGCAAUGUAUUUGAAUGUUUUCAGUAGUGUGCAGUUGGGAUUGGAGUGUGAAAAAGGGAAAGAGAAAAAAGAGAAGAGAGAACAAGUGAAGGGAAAAAUGAUGUUAAUGAGUAUGAUAUCGACGUUGCGGCGUAGAGAACACAGAACACGGUGCUAGCUAACACAAAUACUCAUUUCGCUCUAAAGGAAACUUUCAAAUACGGUAGGUGGAAACAUUCUACAAAAAUCAACAGAAAAGUACUCAGAAAAGCUUACAAAAACAAUACAAUUUACUUUAAAUCUAGCGCGUAAACUACACACUGCAUACAGUCUCUAACAUACACUCUCAGCUACAGUGACUGUAUCCUGGUCACGGCACCAAUCGAUCGUUACAUUUCUUAUUACAAUGAUCCAAUAUGCCUUCUUCUUUCGACAUAGCAAUUAUGUUGGAAAGAGAACCUUAUAUUACAUUCAGUUCUGUACAAUAAAAACAUGUUAAUUUAAUUUUCCAUCUCACGACAGCAAAUUAGAUCCGUUAUUUAAUGACGGCGGUCUCAAUCAAUCAAUUUAUGUCCUCCGAUUCCGAUCAGCAAAUUUAUGUCGAUACUAUUGCUUGCUUUCUGCAGCAACAACAAGGCCAACCCCCUUACUCGUCGGGUUGCGUUGCAAUUGUACUGUACGAUCUCGUCCAAUUCCUUCGUUUAAAAAAAAAGCAUUCCUCCACCACAACCCGCGGGCUAUGUUCCGCUUGUUUUGCACGGGUUUGGUGUUUUUUUUUUUUUUGCUACAGCGUGCUCUGCUCGGCUGCUCCACCGAAAUGCUCCUUAUCUUCAUCCUCUAAUAAGUGAUCGGACCAUGCGAAACAUAAACUAGACUUUCACUCGCACACAGUCUGUCGCGUUACCCUCCUCCUCGUCACACACACACACACAGGCUUCACUAUUUCCCGUCUUUCGUUUCGGCAUUACAACGGUAUUUCCCCACAGAAAAAGCAGAAAAAAGGAGGGAUUCAAUGGAUGGAUCGGCAAUGCGAUUAAUUUAUAUGCAAAAUAAAUUUAACUUAUCUCAUGUGAA